rnacentral:rRNA from 1 species
UACGUAGGGACCAAGCGUUGUCCGGAUUUAUUGGGCGUAAAGAGCGUGUAGGCGGCCUGAAAGGUCAGCUGUGAAAACUCGAGGCUUAACCUCGAGACGUCGGUUGAAACCACCUGGCUAGAGUCCGGAAGAGGAGAGUGGAAUUCCCGGUGUAGCGGUGAAAUGCGCAGAUAUCGGGAAGAACACCCGUGGCGAAGGCGGCUCUCUGGGACGGUACUGACGCUGAGACGCGAAAGCGUGGGGAGCGAACAGG